rnacentral:lncRNA from 1 species
UAUAUAUAGUAGGUCUUGUGUGCUAUUAGGAGGCCUUCGUGCUCCUAAGUCGUUUUCGAUGAUGGAGCUUUCGAAUCGACGAUCGGCUCCGUUAGACUUAAUCUAGCAUAUUUGAAGUAUCUAGAAAAUGAAUUUUACGAUUUUUCGAUAUUAUUUACCUAGCGAUCGAAAGGGUUCAAAAUCAACAAUUUUUAAUGGUUAAUAUAUAUCGUUUGCAAGUAUAACGGUGUAGAAGUAUACAAAUCAAAUAAAAUUUGAUAGAAAAUUUUUUAUACUAUUUACUACAAGAUCAAUAUCUCUGAUUGAAAAUUUUAGUGGUAUAUCACCACUUUUUGUGAGAUUUUUAGUUUCAGCCGUUGAUUUUGAACCCUUUCAAUAGUUAGGUAAAUGAUAUUGAAAAAUCGCAAAAUUUAUUUUCUAGAUACUUCAAAUGCACUAGAUUAAGUCUAACGGAGCCGAUCGUCAAUUCGCAAGCUCCAUCAUCGAAAAUGGCUUAGGAGCACGGAGGCCUCCAUGCUCCUAAUAGCAUACAAGACCUACUAUAUAUAUAUAUAUAUAGAGAGAGAGAGAGAGAGAGAGAGAGAGAGAGAGAGAGAGAGAGAGAGAGCUACACUAGAAAACUAUUAGUAGUAACCGGUUCGAAUUACUACAAAUUUUGAUUUCGAUGAUAAAGUUUUCAAAUUAACGAUCGACAUCAUUGAAUAUGAAAUAAAUGGCUAAAAAUUGUUCUCUCGUCAAUCAAGUGACAUAAAAUAAAUGACUAAAAAUGAAUAUUCUUCAAAAAAAUAAUGGUACAAUUUCUGCAAUGAAGAUCUAAAGUCUAGAUUUUAUUUUAAAUAGUUUAAAGAAUUUUCUAACAAAAAUUUAGCUAAUUUGGAUUUUUCUAUACUGUUAAACAAGCAAACAUAAGAUACCGGCUAUUAAAAUUAUAAAUUUUGUGAUCCUUUAAUUGUUCGGUUAGUGAUGUCAAAAAAGGAUAAAAUUUGGUUUCUUAAUAAUUUAAAUGAUUUAGAUCAUAUUCAAUAAUAUCGAUCGUCGAUUUAAAAGCUCUAUCAUCGAAAAAAAAUUAUAAAAAAUCGAGCCGUUUACUAUCGAUCGUAUUCUAGUAAAGCUCUCUAUAUUCGAUAUUAUCCAAAAUCAAAUAGAAAAAUUUUUGUAUCGGAUCGAAUAUGAAUAUGAAUACAGAUACAAAUUAAUCAAAAAAUUAUAUUACACUA